GAUCCUGGCUCAGGAUGAACGCUAGCUACAGGCUUAACACAUGCAAGUCGUGCGGGGUGCUUGCACCCAGCGGCAAACGGGUGAGUAACACGUAUCCAACCUGGCCCACACUAGAGAAUAGCCGCUCGAAAGAGCGAUUAAUGCUUUAUGUUCUGGAGGAGUUGCCUGAUUGCUCCAGCAAAGGCUUCGGCCGGUAUGGGAUGGGGAUGCGCUCCAUUAGGUAGUCGGCGGGGUAACGGCCCACCGAGCCGAUGAUGGAUAGGGGUUCUGAGAGGAAGGUCCCCCACAUUGGAACUGCGACACGGUCCAAACUCCUACGGGAGGCAGCAGUGAGGAAUAUUGGUCAAUGGCCGUAAGGCUGAACCAGCCAAGUAGCGUGAGGGAAGGCUGCCCUAUGGGUUGUAAACCUCUUUUGUCGGGGAAUAAAGUGCUCCACGUGUGGAGUAUUGCAUGUACCCGUCGAAUAAGCAUCGGCUAACUCCGUGCC
rnacentral:rRNA from 1 species